GAUGAAGAACGCAGCGAAGUGCGAUAAGUAAUGUGAAUUGCAGAAUUCCGUGAAUCAUCGAAUCUUUGAACGCAAAUUGCACUUUCUGGUAUUCCGGAGAGUAUGCCUGUUUGAGGGUCAGUGUAAUAAAAAUAAAUCGUGGUUGUUUGCCACCUUUUCGUGGUGACGCUUCGGAAUUGAGUCGUCUUUACCCCUUCGGGUUAAGUGACUUAAAAUUUUUUCAUACGAUUUCGAAACGUAUUUAAUGUAUUAUUUACGUUCACGAAUAUCGAAUUUUUAUUAGGUGCGGUCAUUUUUCAUGAAUUCGCGUCUAUAAUUUUUUUUUUUUUUUGACCUCAAAUCAGGUAAGAAUACCCGCUGAACUUAAGCAUAUCAAUAAGCGGAGGA
rnacentral:misc_RNA from 1 species